UAAUAUUUUUAUAAUCUUUAUAUAUAUAAAAAAAAUAAUAUCAAUGUAGCAUCACACAGAAAAUAACAAGUUAUUGCUAGCAAACCAAACAUACAUUCUAACUUAUUUAGCCAUGUAAUGACUCAAAAAAAUGUUUAAAAUUCGGACAUAUUUAUGAGGGAGAAUUUAAAUAUCAUAAAACAGUGAUUUAUAGUUUUAACAGCAUUUGAUAAAUUAUCCUGAUAAUUUAAUCUCUAGAAUGUAUGCACUAGACAUGUCGAAACGAAACAAUGUCCCACAUACUGCUUAAUUCAAAGGGAAGUAAUGACCGGGAAAAGAAUGAUGCUCAUUCAAUCACCCCCAGAACACAACAAAAACAUCUUGACA
rnacentral:lncRNA from 1 species